rnacentral:tRNA from 1 species
GGAGGUGUAGCUCAGUGGUGGAGCACUUGCCUUGCACCUGCAAGGCACUGGGUUCAAUUCUCAGCACCACAU